rfam:Triticum aestivum genome assembly, contig: Triticum_aestivum_CS42_TGACv1_scaffold_405075_5BL
AAACUACUCCCUCCGUCCGAAAAUACUUGUACAAGGAAUGUAUGUAUCUUGAUGUAUUUUAGUUCUAGAUAUAUCCAUUUUUAUGCAUUUCUACGACAAGUAUUUCUGGACGGAGGGAGUAUAAA